rnacentral:rRNA from 1 species
GAUCUCCAGCUUGCUGGGGGGAUUAGUGGCGAACGGGUGAGUAACACGUGAGUAACCUGCCCUUAACUCUGGGAUAAGCCUGGGAAACUGGGUCUAAUACCGGAUAUGACUCCUCAUCGCAUGGUGGGGGGUGGAAAGCUUUUUGUGGUUUUGGAUGGACUCGCGGCCUAUCAGCUUGUUGGUGAGGUAAUGGCUUACCAAGGCGACGACGGGUAGCCGGCCUGAGAGGGUGACCGGCCACACUGGGACUGAGACACGGCCCAGACUCCUACGGGAGGCAGCAGUGGGGAAUAUUGCACAAUGGGCGCAAGCCUGAUGCAGCGACGCCGCGUGAGGGAUGACGGCCUUCGGGUUGUAAACCUCUUUCAGUAGGGAAGAAGCGAAAGUGACGGUACCUGCAGAAGAAGCGCCGGCUAACUACGUGCCAGCAGCCGCGGUAAUACGUAGGGCGCAAGCGUUAUCCGGAAUUAUUGGGCGUAAAGAGCUCGUAGGCGGUUUGUCGCGUCUGCCGUGAAAGUCCGGGGCUCAACUCCGGAUCUGCGGUGGGUACGGGCAGACUAGAGUGAUGUAGGGGAGACUGGAAUUCCUGGUGUAGCGGUGAAAUGCGCAGAUAUCAGGAGGAACACCGAUGGCGAAGGCAGGUCUCUGGGCAUUAACUGACGCUGAGGAGCGAAAGCAUGGGGAGCGAACAGGAUUAGAUACCCUGGUAGUCCAUGCCGUAAACGUUGGGCACUAGGUGUGGGGGACAUUCCACGUUUUCCGCGCC